UACGUAGGGGGCAAGCGUUGUCCGGAUUUACUGGGCGUAAAGCGCGCGUAGGCGGAGCGUUAAGUCCGGUCUGAAAGCCCCCGGCUCAACCGGGGAAGGUGGCUGGAAACUGGCGUUCUGGAGGGCGAUAGAGGAGCGUGGAAUUCCUGGUGUAGCGGUGAAAUGCGUAGAUAUCAGGAGGAACACCGGUGGCGAAGGCGGCAUCCUGGACCAUGACUGACGCUGAGUGAGCGAAAGCCAGGGGAGCAAACGGG
rnacentral:rRNA from 1 species